AGAGUUUGAUCCUGGCUCAGGACGAACGCUGGCGGCGUGCCUAAUACAUGCAAGUAGGACGCACAGUUUAUACCGUAGCUUGCUACACCAUAGACUGUGAGUUGCGAACGGGUGAGUAACGCGUAGGUAACCUACCUAUUAGAGGGGGAUAACUAUUGGAAACGAUAGCUAAUACCGCAUAACAGUAUGUAACACAUGUUAGAUGCUUGAAAGAUGCAAUUGCAUCGCUAGUAGAUGGACCUGCGUUGUAUUAGCUAGUAGGUAGGGUAAUGGCCUACCUAGGCAACGAUACAUAGCCGACCUGAGAGGGUGAUCGGCCACACUGGGACUGAGACACGGCCCAGACUCCUACGGGAGGCAGCAGUAGGGAAUCUUCGGCAAUGGGGGGAACCCUGACCGAGCAACGCCGCGUGAGUGAAGAAGGUUUUCGGAUCGUAAAGCUCUGUUGUUAAGGAAGAACGAGUGUGAGAAUGGAAAGUUCAUGCUGUGACGGUACUUAACCAGAAAGGGACGGCUAACUACGUGCCAGCAGCCGCGGUAAUACGUAGGUCCCGAGCGUUGUCCGGAUUUAUUGGGCGUAAAGCGAGCGCAGGCGGUUAGAAAAGUCUGAAGUGAAAGGCAGUGGCUCAACCAUUGUAGGCUUUGGAAACUGUUUAACUUGAGUGCAGAAGGGGAGAGUGGAAUUCCAUGUGUAGCGGUGAAAUGCGUAGAUAUAUGGAGGAACACCGGUGGCGAAAGCGGCUCUCUGGUCUGUAACUGACGCUGAGGCUCGAAAGCGUGGGGAGCGAACAGGAUUAGAUACCCUGGUAGUCCACGCCGUAAACGAUGAGUGCUAGGUGUUAGGUCCUUUCCGGGACUUAGUGCCGCAGCUAACGCAUUAAGCACUCCGCCUGGGGAGUACGACCGCAAGGUUGAAACUCAAAGGAAUUGACGGGGGCCCGCACAAGCGGUGGAGCAUGUGGUUUAAUUCGAAGCAACGCGAAGAACCUUACCAGGUCUUGACAUCCCAGUGACUGCCCUAGAGAUAGGGUUUCCCUUCGGGGCACUGGUGACAGGUGGUGCAUGGUUGUCGUCAGCUCGUGUCGUGAGAUGUUGGGUUAAG
rnacentral:rRNA from 1 species